rfam:TPA: Bos taurus chromosome 20, whole genome shotgun sequence.
UCCCUGGUGGCUCAGAUGGUAAAGCGUCUGCCUGCAAUGCGGAAGACCCGGGUUCGAUCGCUGGGUUGGGAA